AGCCUCGGGGUGUGACACGUCAGAUUGCAAAUCUGAAGAAGUAGGCUAACCGCCUGCCGGGGCUU
rnacentral:tRNA from 1 species